AUCCAGGCGAUGAGUCUCAUAUAGGACGAAACGCGCGUCCUGAAU
rnacentral:hammerhead_ribozyme from 1 species